GGAGAAGACACAAGCUUAUUUUGGAGGCUACAAACAAACUGAAAUGACAUGGCCCGAAUCAAAUGAAAUCUCACAAUGAAACUCAACAGAAGUGUUCGAUCUUAAACAUGCAUCUCAUCCAACUUGCUCCACACUGAUCACAUUACAAAUUAAUCAAGAAGAAACUAAACAUGGAUCGAUCAUCACCCAAGUGUCACAUCCUCGCAACAAAAGCCUUCUUCCCCAUCUGAACCAAAUCAGUCCUUCACAACACAUCCUCACAAGAUUCUGACGAUGGAGUGACCACCAUUUUUAUGCGUGUUGCCGAUGGCGAAAUGGGUAAUUAGAACUCGC
rnacentral:misc_RNA from 1 species